rnacentral:rRNA from 1 species
AUGGAGAAGUUUCAUGGAAUGUUGGCAUCCUCCUGCUGGCCUAGCUUUGGAAAUCCCUCGUGCAGGGUGGGUGGCAGCUCGCCAGGCCAGGACCGAAUAUUUCCCUCUCGUGAUCUCGUCUAUUUCCAAAGAUACCAGGGGCUGUGUGCUCUGGGAGACUGGUGGCCACAAUGUGGAUUGCGACACCAGCGGCGUUUUCCUGAUGACUGGUUACUUCAUUUAAUUAUUAUUACGUUGUAUGGUCUAUUUUGGGUGUUUGAGAUUUUAUUAUUUUUUGAAAGACAAAAAAUAUACUUCCUCUGUAAAAAAAUAUAUGAGCAUUUAGAUCACUAA